rnacentral:rRNA from 1 species
ACGUAGGUGGCAAGCGUUGUCCGGAUUUAUUGGGUUUAAAGGGUGCGUAGGCGGUUUUGUAAGUCAGUGGUGAAAUACUCUAGCUUAACUAGAGGGGUGCCAAUGAUACUGCAGAACUUGAGUACAGAUGAGGUAGGCGGAAUUGACGGUGUAGCGGUGAAAUGCAUAGAUAUCGUCAAGAACACCUAUAGCGAAGGCAGCUUACUGGGCUGUAACUGACGCUGAGGCACGAAAGUGUGGGGAUCAAACAGGAUUAGAUACCCUGGUAGUCCACACUGUAAACGUUGAUUACUCGCUGUUUGCGAUACACAGCAAGCGGCUUAGCGAAAGCGAUAAGUAAUCCACCUGGGGAGUACGCCGGCAACGGUG